rnacentral:sRNA from 13 species
GCUGGGCAUGGUGGCGCAUGCCUGUAGUCCCAGCUACUCAGGAGGCUGAGGCAGGAGAAUUGCUUGAACCCAGGAGGCGGAGGUUGCGGUGAGCCGAGAUCACGCCAUUGUACUCCAGCCUGGGUAAUGAGAGCAAAACUCUGUCUCUU